GAGGGGCGUCCGCUCCUCUCUUCUAUCUGCCUUUUGGGCGCCGACCAGGAGGCCCCGUCUGCACAGCAUCCCCACACCUCAGUCUGAGGCUGACAGGGUCACGUGGCCCACGUUGACCUCAGACUCACUAUGAGGUCACUUUGAAAGUCAAAUCAUCAGAUCAUCAGCUGCCAAAUACUUGGACUCCCACCGGAGCGCCCAAAUCUGGCUUUUGUGGUGAGGAAAGAGAAGCCCAUGGAAAACGAUUCGACUCUGUUCUAGGACCCGAGGUCAAGAUGCCCCAGUUAAGGCUGGAGAGACAGCUUGGCUCAGCGGUUAAGAAUGCCGACUGCUUUACCAGAGGACCUGAGUUCAGUUCCCAGCACCCACAUGGCAGCUCACGACUGUCUGUGACUCCAGUUCCAAAGGACCUGGUGACCUGGCAGACAAGCAGGCAGAACACCAAUGCACAGAAAAAAAAAAUCAUUUUUAAAAAAAUACCCCAGUUAAGUUUAUUAAUGUGCCAGCUUCUGCAAAGCGCUCCCUGCAGGUGCGGCUGUUGAGCGAGAGACCAGGAUGUGCAUUUACCUUUAAAGGGUCCUUUCCCCAGUACCUAGUGGUGCUCCGCUUUGUCCUGAAUUCCUGACUGGACUCCCAGCCAGCCUGAAUAAAGGUUUUCUCUCUUUUUAA